AUAAAGAUCUUGAUUAAGAAGAUAUAUUUGAGAGAAAAGUACAAUUCAACGAGCAGAUCAUUUGGUACGUAAACCAAUUUCACACGGUUAAAAAUGUUGAAUAUCCACUAAAUCAAUACAAUAGGAGUAAAUAGAGUCAAUAGACAAACAGGCAAGCAGUUGAUUCAUCCAAAGUCAAGCCGAGACAUCUUAGAUAUCAGAUGUUCCAUAACUAUCAAA
rnacentral:lncRNA from 1 species